UGUUCUGUGGCGGAGUUGGUUAACGUGCCCUGUCUAGCGAACUUGGGGAGACGUGGGUUCAAACCCCACCAGAACUA
rfam:Aedes albopictus isolate Foshan contig122502, whole genome shotgun sequence.